GACGAACCGUGCGAACGUUAUUCGGAAUCACUGGGCUUAAAGCGCGUGUAGGCGGGACGGCACGUCGGCCGCUGAAAUCCCCCGGCUCAACCGGGGAAGGGGCGCCGAUACGACCGGCCUGGAGGGACGUAGGGGGGGCUGGAACUUCCGGUGGAGCGGUGAAAUGCGCAGAUAUCGGGAGGAACACCAAUUGCGAAGGCAGCUCGCUGGGACGAUACUGACGCUGAGGCGCGAAAGCGUGGGGAGCAAACAGG
rnacentral:rRNA from 1 species